AAGCGGAGGAAAAGAAACUAACAAGGAUUCCCCUAGUAACGGCGAGUGAAGAGGGAUCAGCCCAAAUUUGUAAUCUGGCUCUUUUCAGAGUCUGAGUUGUAAUUUUGAGAACUGUUUUCUGCUCUGGACCAUGUACAAGUCUGUUGAAAUGCAGCAUCAUUGAGGGUGAGAAUCCUGUUCAUGAUAUGGACUACCAGAGCUUUAUGAUAUAGUCUCUAAGAGUCGAGUUGUUUGGGAAUGCAGCUCAAAGUGGGUGGUAAAUUCCAUCUAAGGCUAAAUAUUGGUGAGAGACCGAUAGCAAACAAGUACCGUGAGGGAAAGAUGAAAAGAACUUUGGAAAGAGAGUUAACAGUACGUGAAAUUGUUAAAAGGGAAACAGUUGAAGUUAGACUUGUUGUUGUUGGUUCAGCUCUUUUAAGGGUGUUUUCUAAUAAUUAACAAACCAAUGUCAAUUUUUGGGUGUUGGAUAAGGGUUAUUGAAAUGUAGCAGUUUUGGCUGUGUUAUAGUCUUUGACUUGGAUACAAUGCUUAGGAUUGAGGAUUGCAGUAAGCCAUUUAUUUGGUGGAACAAUUUAUUGUUCUUCUUGCUGAGGAUAUUGGUGAAAUAGCUUUAAUUGACCCGU
rnacentral:rRNA from 1 species